rnacentral:rRNA from 1 species
GACGAACGCUGGCGGCGUGCCUAAUACAUGCAAGUAGAACGCACAGUUUAUACCGUAGCUUGCUACACCAUAGACUGUGAGUUGCGAACGGGUGAGUAACGCGUAGGUAACCUGCCUGGUAGCGGGGGAUAACUAUUGGUAACGCUAGCUAAUACCGCAUAAUAUUAAUUAUUGCAUGAUAAUUAAUUGAAAGGUGCAAUUGCACCCCUACCAGAUGGACCUGCGUUGGAUUAGGUAGUAGGGGAGGUAACGGCUCACCUAGGCGACGAUACAUAGCCGACCUUGGAGGGUGAUCGGCCCACCUGGGACUGGGAAAAGGCCCCAACCCCCACCGGGAGCCGCAGUAGGGAAUCUUUGGCAAUGGACGACAGUCUGGCCGCGCACCGCCGCGUGAGUGAAGGAGGUUUUCGGAUCGUAAAGCUCUGUUGUAAGAGAAGAACGGGUGUGAGGGUGGAAAGUUCACAAUGUGACGGUAUCUUAACAGAAAGGGACGGCUAACUACGUG